GAUGAACGCUGGCGGUGUGCCUAAUACAUGCAAGUCGAGCGAACAGACGAGGAGCUUACUCCUCUGACGUUAGCGGCGGACGGGUGAGUAACACGUGGAUAACCUACCUAUAAGACUGGGAUAACUUCGGGAAACCGGAGCUAAUACCGGAUAACAUGUUGAACCGCAUGGUUCAACAGUGAAAGACGGUCUUGCUGUCACUUAUAGAUGGAUCCGCGUCGCAUUAGCUAGUUGGUAAGGUAACGGCUUACCAAGGCAACGAUGCGUAGCCGACCUGAGAGGGUGAUCGGCCACACUGGAACUGAGACACGGUCCAGACUCCUACGGGAGGCAGCAGUAGGGAAUCUUCCGCAAUGGGCGAAAGCCUGACGGAGCAACGCCGCGUGAGUGAAGAAGGUCUUCGGAUCGUAAAACUCUGUAAUUAGGGAAGAACAAAUGUGUAAGUAACUAUGCACGUCUUGACGGUACCUAAUCAGAAAGCCACGGCUAACUACGUG
rnacentral:rRNA from 1 species